AGUGAACGCUGGCGGUAGGCCUAACACAUGCAAGUCGAACGGCAGCACAGUAAGAGCUUGCUCUUACGGGUGGCGAGUGGCGGACGGGUGAGGAAUACAGCGGAAUCUACUUUUUCGUGGGGGAUAACGGAGGGAAACUUACGCUAAUACCGCAUACGACCUACGGGUGAAAUCAGGGGAUCAUCGGACCUUGCGAGAAUGAAUAGGCCGAUGUCGGAUUGGUUAGUUGGCGGGGUAAGGGCCCACUAAGCCAACGGACCGUAGCUGGCCUGGGUGGAUGAUCGGCCACACUGGAACUGGAACACGCUCCAGACUCCUACGGGGGGCGGCAGAGGGGAAUAUUGGACAAUGGGCGAAAUCCUGCUCCAGCCCGACCGCGUGGGUGAAGAGGGCCUUCGGGUUGUAAAGCCCUUUUGUUGGGAAGAAAGAGCGGCAGGUUGAUACCCCGCUGUUCUGACGGUACCCAAAGAAUAAGCACCGGCUAACUUCGUG
rnacentral:rRNA from 1 species